GGUUUAGAACGUCGUGAGACAGUUUGGUCUCUAUCUUUUGUAAAUAGAAGAAAAUUGAAGAGAUUAUUUCCCAGUACGAGAGGACCGGAAAAAAUGCACCUCUGAUGGAAUAAUUGUUUUAUUAAGCAUUGUUAUGUAAUUAUGUGUAUAAUAAAUAAUCGCUGAAAACAACUAAGUGAGAAGUUAACUCUUAAAGAAUUUUCUCAAAUUUUGGUGAAAGAGGAUCACCUAAAUAGGUAUUAUGUUUACGUAUUGUAAGAUAUUUAGCUAA
rnacentral:rRNA from 1 species